AUGAACGCUUGUACAAGUUUGAUGACCGGAAACAUGUAUUUUAUAACACCUUCAUCAACUAUCACCUUGUUCUGGCACUGGCUGAAGUUGAAUGCCUCUCCAGGUAACCCAAGUUGGACUUCAUCACUGAUGUCAGCGGAUGAUAUGGCGUUCCUUGAUUCCCGGAGCUUGUUUCUACAAAAAAAAAAAUAG
rnacentral:rRNA from 1 species